UACGGGGGAGCAAGCGUUGUUCGGAUUUACUGGGCGUAAAGGGCGCGUAGGCGGCGCAACAAGUCACUUGUGAAAUCUCCGGGCUUAACCCGGAGCGGCCAAGUGAUACUGUCGUGCUAGAGUGCGGAAGGGGCUACUGGAAUUCUCGGUGUAGCGGUGAAAUGCGUAGAUAUCGAGAGGAACACCUGCGGCGAAGGCGGGUAGCUGGGCCGACACUGACGCUGAGGCGCGAAAGCCAGGGAGCGAACGGG
rnacentral:rRNA from 1 species